UACGUAGGUCCCGAGCGUUGUCCGGAUUUAUUGGGCGUAAAGCGAGCACAGGUGGUUUAUUAAGUCUGGUGUAAAAGGCAGUGGCUCAACCAUUGUAUGCAUUGGAAACUGGUAGACUUGAGUGCAGGAGAGGAGAGUGGAAUUCCAUGUGUAGCGGUGAAAUGCGUAGAUAUAUGGAGGAACACCGGUGGCGAAAGCGGCUCUCUGGCCUGUAACUGACACUGAGGCUCGAAAGCGUGGGGAGCAAACAGG
rnacentral:rRNA from 1 species